rnacentral:rRNA from 1 species
UACGAAGGGGGCUAGCGUUGUUCGGAAUCACUGGGCGUAAAGCGCGCGUAGGCGGAUUGUUAAGUCAGGGGUGAAAUGCCGAGGCUCAACCUCGGAACUGCCUUUGAUACUGGGGAUCUCGAGUCCGGAAGAGGUUGGUGGAACUCCGAGUGUAGAGGUGAAAUUCGUAGAUAUUCGGAAGAACACCAGUGGCGAAGGCGGCCAACUGGUCCGGUACUGACGCUGAGGUGCGAAAGCGUGGGGAGCAAACAGG